AGGUCCCUUCCAAUCCCUAACAUCCUGUGAGCCUGUGAAUAUCAGGAAGAUGUAUCCCAUACAUUUGUAGCUGCACAAUAUUCACCUCUCAGUCUAUGAUCCUUCACCCAGAAUCACAUUCGACUACUGCAGCUGAGGACACGUCUUUAGUUGUGGUGGUGCCUGCAAGAAUCGACAGACUUCUCUGAGACUGUGAAGCACUUCACAACAUAGAAGGAGGAUUGCUCUAAACUGAGUGUCUGGCAACACUGAAGGACCUUCCAUGCCACCUGCAGCCUGCUCCAGAAUGCCUCCCCCCACAAACGGCUGGGUGACACUCCCAUGGAGGAUGAUGUGUCUCCUGUAGCACAGUGGAUGAAGCCACCGUGGUAGAGGAGCAGGCUGCACCGUCACCAGCAGCACAGCCAGAGCUUUCUCCAUGCACCCUGGGAGGUGACCUGCAUUUCAUUAUCCAGUACUUGUAAGUGAAAAACCAGAGAAUUCCUGAAUG